rnacentral:rRNA from 1 species
UAUUUUAAAGAGAGUUUGAUCCUGGCUCAGGACGAACGCUGGCGGCGUGCCUAAUACAUGCAAGUCGAACGAACGGAGGAAGAGCUUGCUCUUCCAAAGUUAGUGGCGGACGGGUGAGUAACACGUGGGCAACCUGCCUGUAAGUUGGGGAUAACUCCGGGAACCGGG